AGUGAACGCUGGCGGUAGGCCUAACACAUGCAAGUCGAACGGCAGCACAGUAAGAGCUUGCUCUUACGGGUGGCGAGUGGCGGACGGGUGAGGAAUACAUCGGAAUCUACUUUUUCGUGGGGAAUAACGUAGGGAAACUUACGCUAAUACCGCAUACGACCCACGGGUGAAAGCAGGGGAUCUUCGGACCUUGCGCGAUUGAAUGAGCCGAUGUCGGAUUAGCUAGUUGGCGGGGUAAAGGCCCACCAAGGCGACGAUCCGUAGCUGGUCUGAGAGGAUGAUCAGCCACACUGGAACUGAGACACGGUCCAGACUCCUACGGGAGGCAGCAGUGGAGAAUAUUGGACAAUGGGCGCAAGCCUGAUCCAGCCAUACCGCGUGGGUGAAGAAGGCCUUCGGGUUGUAAAGCCCUUUUGUUGGGAAAGAAAAGCAGCAGGUUAAUACCCCGCUGUUCUGACGGUACCCAAAGAAUAAGCACCGGCUAACUUCGUG
rnacentral:rRNA from 1 species